CUACGGGAGGCACCAGUGAGGAAUAUUGCACAAUGGGGGGAACCCUGAUGCAGCAACGCCGCGUGGAGGAUGACGCAUUUCGGUGUGUAAACUCCUUUUAUAUGUCAAGAAAAUGACGGUAGCAUAUGAAUAAGCACCGGCUAACUCCGUGCCAGCAGCCGCGGUAAUACGGAGGGUGCAAGCGUUACUCGGAAUCACUGGGCGUAAAGGACGCGUAGGCGGGUUGGAAAGUCAGGUGUGAAAUCCUACAGCUUAACUGUAGAACUGCACUUGAAACUUCUAAUCUAGAGUAUGGGAGGGGGAGAUGGAAUUAGUGGUGUAGGGGUAACAUCCGUAGAUAUCACUAGGAAUACCUAAAGCGAAGGCGAUCUCCUGGAACAUUACUGACGCUAAGGCGCGAAAGCGUGGGGAGCAAACAGGAUUAGAUACCCUUGUAGUC
rnacentral:rRNA from 1 species